rnacentral:rRNA from 1 species
UCGGCUCUCGCAUCGAUGAAGAACGCAGCGAACCGCGAUACGUGGUGUGAAUUGCAGAAUCCCGCGAAUCAUCGAGUCUUUGAACGCAAGUUGCGCCCGAGGCCAAGUGGCCGAGGGCACGCCUGCCUGGUCGUCAGGCGCCGCGUCGCUCCCGCAGUUGCAUGCGUUCGCUCGACGAAGAACCGGCAGCACGAAUCGGGAUGCGGAGUGUGGCCCUCUGCCUGCGCAAGCGGCGGGUUGAAGAGCGCGUUGUCUUUGGUAGGCCCGUCACCCGACGAAGGUGGUGGAUCGAUUGGAAUGAACCGCUUCGUCGCAUUUCGUUGCGACGGCGCCCACCAAAUGAUGACCGAGCUAACUCCUUGCCACGGGCAUUGCUAUCCAGGGGAUGGCGCUGCCCUCGUAGUCGCGACGUCAGGUCAGGCGGGGGCACCCGCUGAGUUUAAGCAUAUCAAUAAGCGGAGGAGAAGAAACUUACAAGGAUUCCCCUAGUAACGGCGAGCGAACCGGGAUGCGCCCAGCGUGAAAAUUGGGCUAACU